rnacentral:rRNA from 1 species
GCGUUUUGCGGUGUGGGAUGGGCCCGCGGCCUAUCAGCUUGUUGGUGGGGGUAAUGGCCUACCAAGGCGACGACGGGUAGCCGGCCUGAGAGGGUGACCGGCCACACUGGGACUGAGAUACGGCCCAGACUCCUACGGGAGGCAGCAGUGGGGAAUAUUGCACAAUGGGCGCAAGCCUGAUGCAGCGACGCCGCGUGAGGGAUGACGGCCUUCGGGUUGUAAACCUCUUCAGCACAGACGAAGCGCAAGUGACGGUAUGUGCAGAAGAAGGACCGGCCAACUACGUGCCAGCAGCCGCGGUAAUACGUAGGGUCCGAGCGUUGUCCGGAAUUACUGGGCGUAAAGAGCUCGUAGGUGGUUUGUCGCGUUGUCCGUGAAAACUCACAGCUCAACUGUGGGCGUGCGGGCGAUACGGGCAGACUGGAGUACUGCAGGGGAGACUGGAAUUCCUGGUGUAGCGGUGGAAUGCGCAGAUAUCAGGAGGAACACCGGUGGCGAAGGC